AGAGUUUGAUCCUGGCUCAGAACGUACGCUGGCGGCACGCCUAAUACAUGCAAGUCGAACGAAGUAGCAAUACUUAGUGGCAGACGGGUGAGUAACAUGUGGGUAUCUUCCCUUUGGUGAGGAAUAACACGAGGAAACUUGUGCUAAUACCUCAUAAGUCUUUACGGAGAAAGCUUUAUGCGCCAUUGGAUGAGCCCGCACUUGAUUAGUUUGUUGGUGGGGUAAUGGCCUACCAAGACUGUGAUCAAUAGCUGAUUUGAGAGGAUGAUCAGCCACAUUGGGACUGAGACACGGCCCAAACUCCUACGGGAGGCAGCAGUAGGGAAUCUUGCACAAUGGAGGAAACUCUGAUGCAGCGAUGCCGCGUGAGUGAAGAAGGCCUUUGGGUUGUAAAGCUCUUUCGUCGGGGAAGAAAAUGACUGUACCCGAAUAAGAAGGUCCGGCUAACUUCGUGCCAGCAGCCGCGGUAAUACGAAGGGACCUAGCGUAGUUCGGAAUUACUGGGCUUAAAGAGUUCGUAGGUGGUUAAAAUAGUUGGUGGUGAAAUCCCAGAGCUUAACUCUGGAACUGCCAUCAAAACUUUUUAGCUAGAGUAUGAUAGAGGAAAGCAGAAUUUCUAGUGUAGAGGUGAAAUUCGUAGAUAUUAGAAAGAAUACCAAUUGCGAAGGCAGCUUUCUGGAUCAUUACUGACACUGAGGAACGAAAGCAUGGGUAGCGAAGAGGAUUAGAUACCCUCGUAGUCCAUGCCGUAAACGAUGUGUGUUAGACGUUGGAAAUUUAUUUUCAGUGUCGCAGCGAAAGCGAUAAACACACCGCCUGGGGAGUACGACCGCAAGGUUAAAACUCAAAUGAAUUGACGGGGACCCGCACAAGUAGUGGAGCAUGUGGUUUAAUUCGAAGAUACGCGCAGAACCUUACCAACACUUGACAUGUUCGUCGCGACUCUAAGAGAUUAGAGUUUUCGGUUCGGCCGGACGAAACACAGGUGCUGCAUGGCUGUCGUCAGCUCGUGUCGUGAGAUGUUGGGUUAAGUCCCGCAACGAGCGCAACCCUCACUUUUAGUUGCCAUCAUUUAGUUGGGCACUCUGAAAGAACUGCCAGUGAUAAGCUGGAGGAAGGUGGGGAUGACGUCAAGUCCUCAUGGCCCUUAUGUGUUGGGCUACACACGUGCUACAAUGAUAUCUACAACAGGAAGCAAGAUGGCAACAUUAAGCAAAUCCUAAAAAGAUAUCUCAGUUCGGAUUGCACUCUGCAACUCGAGUGCAUGAAGCUGGAAUUACUAGUAAUCGUGGAUCAGCGUGCCACGGUGAAUACGUUCCCGGGUCUUGUACACACCGCCCGUCACACCAUGGGAGUUGGUUCUACCUUAAGGCAAAGUUUAAAACCUUUGACCACGGUAUAGUCAGCGACUGGGGUGAAGUCGUAACAAGGUAACC
rnacentral:rRNA from 1 species